AUGGCUAGGCCCAAUCUAAACAGAAAUCUAAGGUUCAUUCCUAUAGUUAGAGAUGUGGUAUGAAUCUCACUUUUUCAUACGCACAAAAUAUUCGAUGUAUCCACAGAGAACUAACAAAAAACCAAGACUCUCUCUCAGUCUCAAAUCUCAAUUCAUUAGUUCCACUUCUUCGUGAGAUUCAUACGCACAAACAGCAACGUUACUCCGCUAGGGUUCAUCAUUCUCUCAGUUCGUGGUUUCAUCGUUUAACGAAGAACCGUCGCCGUCCAUUAUUCAACCACAAAUCACCACCGAGCUUGUUAGAUCAAGGAGUUGGAUGAGUCCUGCCGCCAAUGGAGCGCGGCAAAAGUAGCUUGCAAGGAGUUGGAGUUCCUAGCUUGCAAGGAGUUGGAGUUCCUAGCGGAGUUGUAGAUCAAGGAGUGAGUCAAGGAGCAGCUGCUGGUACUGCACUCCCUCCACUUCGAAAAAGGAAACUUAAUGCUAGUGGUAGUAGAAAAACUUCUACGGUUUGGGAAGAGUUUAACAUUUUAC